GGGGACUUGGUGUAGUAGUUAACACUCGUCGGGUAUAGAAGUGACCCGUUGGACCCGUGUGUAAUCGGGCAAUUAAUACUGAGAAUUUGCGCAUGCGACCAACAUGCGACGAGCCGAGGGUUCGAUUCCCUCAGUCCCCA